AUAAGCUUCAUAGUCAAGAGGGAAACAGCCCAGAUCACCAGCUAAGGCCCCUAAAUAAUUACUAAGUGAUAAAGGAAGUGGAAGGGCUUUGACAACCAGGAGGUUUGCUUAGAAGCAGCAAUCCUUUAAAAAGUGCGUAAUAGCUUACUGGUCUAGCAAUUCUGCGCCGAAAACUUAUGGGACUAAGUAAUUUGCCGAAGCUGUGAGAUAUUAAGAAUUUAAUAUCGGUAGGGGAGCGUUCUGCGGUAGAUUGAAGUGUUAGCGAAAGCGGGCAUGGACGAAACAGAAGUGAGAAUGUCGGAUUGAGUAGCGAAAACAUUGGUGAGAAUCCAAUGCUCCGAAAACCUAAGGUUUCCUCCGCAAGGCUCGUCCACGGAGGGUGAGUCAGGACCUAAGGUGAGGCUGAGAAGCGUAGCUGAUGGACAAUAGGUUAAUAUUCCUAUACUGAUUUUUACUGGUAUCGAGGGACGAAGAAGGCUAAACUAGCCAGAGAUUGGUUACUGGUUUAAAUUUUCUAGGUGUUGAAGGUUAGUGAAAAUAACUUGAGCUGAGAAAUGAAUACAAGAUUUUAAAAAUCAAAGUAGUUGAUGUCAUACUUCCAAGAAAAGCUCGCUAUGCCUUAAGUAAAAGUUACCUGUACCUUAAACCGACACAGGUAGGUAGGUAGAGAAUACCAAGGAGCGCGGGAGAACCCUCCUUAAGGAACUCGGCAAAAUAACUCUGUAACUUCGGAAGAAAGAGUGCCUUUUAGGCUGCAAUAUCAAGUUCCAAGCAACUGUUUAGCAAAAACACAGGUCUCCGCUAAGUUGUAAAACGACGUAUGGAGGCUGACGCCUGCCCAGUGCUGGAAGGUUAAAGAAGUCGGUUAGCGUAAGCAAAGCUGGUAACUGAAGCCCCAGUGAACGGCGGCCGUAACUAUAACGGUCCUAAGGUAGCGAAAUUCCUGGUCAGGUAAGUUCUGACCCGCACGAAUGGCG
rnacentral:rRNA from 1 species